rnacentral:lncRNA from 1 species
GAUUUGCUGAACCCUUAACAAGUUUCAGCCAGAGAAAACCAUUUGUGAAUUCCUAGAAGAUUAUUAUGGUACUCAAUUUUCCUCUUCCCCUAAAACCAGAACACAAUGUCCUAUGACAGUAACCCAGAAAUAAAAGGUAGUUAUGUCUAGCAUAGAGAACAUACAAAGAGCUUCCUUGCAAAUUUAAAAUUCUAGGAAAGGCAGCAAAAAUGAAAACAUGAUUGAUUUCCUUUUUAUGAUUCAUGAGAAUUACAAAUUGUUAAGGUUGGAGGAGUUUUUCUAAGCCACUGCAAUCCAUGUUUUCUGAUUUUUACAGAGAAGAAACAGAAAUCCAACCCUUUCUGGAAGAAUAAUCCUGUGAGAUUUAGUGAAGAUAAGAUGUGUGUUAGAAUCCAGCUCUUCAGGUCAAAGAUCCCAAGUACAACUGGAAGAAGACCAAAUAUUGUGAAA